GCUUUAUUAAAUGUUUAUUAGUAAUUUUAGGAGUAAUUUGAUAUAUUUAAAUUUUUAAUUUUAUUGGGGAGAUAAGAAAAUAAAAAAACUUUUCUGUGUAAAACUAAGAUAAUAGGAUAUAUGAUCCUUUAAUAAAGAUUACAAGAUUAAGU
rnacentral:rRNA from 1 species